AAGACUAAAAGAAUAAAAACAACAUCAACACAGGUGCAUAGACUAUUGAGUUAAGUAAGUAGACUUACUAGUACUCAUUAAGUCUAGCUUUGUAUCCCAAAUGGGGACUAAUUUACUAGCCACAAAAGUACAUACCAAUUGUGUAGGUGUAAACAAGUAAUAAAAUGGAGGUUAUAAUAUCCUUUACUAUGUAUCCCUCUUAAGUAAUUACUUGGCCUAGAGUUAAAAAUAGAGAGGCAAGGCCUUUAUCCUGCUCUUUGCUUUCUGUAUUUCUAUGCUCUGCUCUUACUUGUUUCAUGGGACUAAGAUGUGGUCACAUGAGCCACUGUUUCUCUUGUUAUCCUUUCUCUUUAGCACAUAAAAACUAGCAUUCUCCCAAUUUCAAAAGCUUCACAUUUUUGAAAAGGCACUGCAGCAGUGUUACUUGAAAAGAUUUUUUUCAUAGAAUGAUUUUAUCAAAUAUUUUUUAUAUUAAGAGGAAAUGUACAGACAUAGCAAUUAGCAGUGUUCUGCUAAAGGAAAAAGAAAGUUCCUAUUUGAAAAGCUGGUAAGCAGACAAUAUAUUUAUUUAUUUUUAUAUUAUAGAAGUAUGACAACUAUGCAACACCCAUACACCUUUCACAACCAUAAGCUUCUAUAUAAUAAUUUGAGUUUGGUUUAUAUCCUAAUGCUCUAAAGGAAAAGUAUUUGCAUGUUCUUUAGUCUGAAAUAAAGUUCUGUUUUCUACCUUUGAAAAAAGAUCUUUCUAUCCUUAUUUUGUAGACUACUGGGUUAGGCUUAAGUAAACUAAUAGAAGUUCUCAAAGAGAACUUUUUGCUGUGUUGGCUGUCCUUGCGAGAUUUGGCUGUGGAGAGUAAACUCUUGCACUAAGAGCCCUUAUGUUCACAGCAAAUAAAUCUUAAUUUAAAUAAAAUCUACUUUAUAUUUUCUUCAUGAAAAUCGAGCUAAUUCUGCCUUUACCCUAUUUAAAAAGCAGGGCAAGAAGUGCGAAUUUUUUUAAAAUAUAUUUUUAUUGAUUUCAGAGAGGAAAGGAGACGGAGAGAGAGAGAGAAACAUCAAUGAUGAGAGAGAAUCAUUGACCAGCUGCCUUUGCAUGCCCUCUAUUAGGGAUCAAGCCUGCAACCUGGGCAUGUGCUCUGACCUGGGAAUCGAACUGUGACCUCCUGGUUCAUAGGCUGACACUCAACCAACUGAGCCACAUCAGCUGGGCAAGAAAUGGGAGUUUUUAAAUAAAAUUUCCAUCUCCCCAAAAAGAAACUCCUUCAAAUUAGCAGUCAUAGGUUUGCCUAUUUUGGAAGGUUGGAAUAAACUUUUGCCGACCACUGCUAUAUGGUAUUUUCUGUUUAGCUUCUUUCACUUAAUAUGUUUUCAAGGUUCAUUCUGAUUGUAGCAUGUAUAUAAAUACUUUGUUCUCUUUUACUGCAAAAUAGCUGUUUGUAGGCUAUAGGGCAUUCCAUUUACCCAUUUACCAAUGGAUGGACAUUUGGGUUGUUACUGGUUAUUAUGAAUAUGUCCAUGUACAGGUUUUUAUUUAGAUAUUUCUCUUAGGCAUACCUGAAAUUAGAAUUGGGUCACAUGGUUUAACUGUAUUUUUAAUCUUUUUAGAGACUACAAGAUUCUUUUCCAAUGUGGCCAUGCCAUUUAGGUCUGUGACUUUUAAAUUCUGUAUCCUCGGCAGCUAGUACAAUGUUUACUGAAUGAAAUGUUAAAUAAUUUAUUCCACAAGGUUUUUCUCAAAUAACUAAUAUGAACCUUUUGGUUAUAUAUUUGCUUACGACUCAAUACAAAGUUAUAGCAUGCAUGUGCCCUACUCAUUAGCACUGUCAUUUUUAUAUAUAAAAAGAACAUAUUAUUGGUUUAUGUACAGGUGGAGAAAAAGACUAAAAUUAAUUAUAAAAGUGGAAGGCUAAUUUUUGUUGUCUUCUAAAUAUCUGGCCUCAAAAUCAUGGACAUUGUUACACUUAAUGCCAGUCAUGUUUUCAUAUUUCAUUUGCUUAUAUGUAGCAUUUCCAAAACUAAUACCAGCUGAUCUUUCUUAUACAUAAAAAUGGCUAAUAUCUACUAUGUGAAAUAUUACUCACUGGAAGGAUCUCAAACGUUUGUAGUGUCCCACUGUUUAGUGUUAUUGUUUCCGAGUCAACAGGAGCAGCAGGGGGGUCUGUUGAAGCUGUGGCAAGAGCAAGGACAACAAUAAAAUGCUGUAUAAAUGUAAAUUUCCUAGUGUACUUACUUAUGAAGGCAAUCUCACACUGAAUAAUUUGCCUGGAGAGCUAAAUUCAUUUAAAUUUCUUUUGAGAUAUUAAGAAAUGGAUUUGUCUGGGAUGGCAAAGGUCAGGGAUUGGCAAACUGGCCCACAGUCAAAUCCAGCCCACUACCAGUUUAUGUAAAUCAAGUAUUACAGGAACACAGCUACAUGCAUUUCUUUUCUAUGGUUACUUUUGCACUACAGUGGCAGAGUUGAGUAGCUGUGAGAAUAUUUACCAGCCCCUGGUAUGGGUCGUAAAAUAUUUCUAGUGUUAGGAAUUAAGAGGAAUACACUGAGGCUAACUUGUAAAGAAAUAGGAAGUUGGUAAAAAAAAUUUCCUAGACAUUCUGGUAAGUGGUAUAGAUGUCUAGAAUGGUAGUCCUAAAACACUAGGUUUUAGUUUUAGUGGCAUCACCUCUUAGCAAUGUAAACUUGGGCAAAUAACUUACUUUAAUUCAAACUAAAGUCCAGAGACUUUAUCUGUCGUGAGGAUAAAACCAUGAAAUAAAUUUAAGUAUUUCAAACAACCACGUUUGGGAGACUGAACAGCACUCUAGAGAUCAAACAGUAUAAUCUCUUUAGAGGUGUGUCAUCUGAGACUCAGACUUCAUCUGUCUGCUGAAGGUUACCUAGAACUAAAACUUCACUAGAAGAAAGGUCUCUUCUGGUGCUUUCAGUUGCACCUGUGGUAUAUCCAUCUGAAAAAUGACUUGCAAUCAACUCAUGUGUAAUGUUUAUUUUAAGUUUAUUAUAUUCUGACUAUAACACUUCUCAGUUGGAAAGAAAUGCACUUCAUUUGGGUUAUUUCUCUUACUAUUUGAUGGAUUCUUAAGAUCAUACCUAGAAUAAUUUGAAGUGAUUCCUGAUAACCUAAAUCAAAAGUAAGCAAACUGACUGUAGAUAAAUGUGCUUCGAGGCUAAGCUAUGCUGUGAAUGAAUAUUAAGGUAUCAUUUAUAAAAUGCUAUUUUCUGAAAAAUUAUUGCCAACACAAUAGUCAACAAAAAUUGUAGCAAUCUCCAUGCACCAUCAAUUUAGAGCUCUUGUAUUUAUGGUGGACUAGUAAUUUCAGUUGCUUUGCAAUUGUUGAGUAUAAAAACAAGCAGUGCCAAAGAAAAAUUCUUCAUGCUUUAUUACAGUGAUAGAAAACUAAAGCAAAUAACCAAACUUAAAUUAGAACUUUUUGAAUAAGACAGGAAUGCUUAAUAUAAAUGUCUGUAAGGUAACUUUGAUAGUCAUUGCAUAUACACAUAUAUAGUGUUAAUUACAUAGGUGGCCCAGUGAUUUUUAAACAGGAUCGAGGGUACAUUUGAAAAUCUGUAGGGUGUUUUUCCCCCCUAUGACUGGAAAGCACUACGUGCAUUCUGUGGGUCAAGGGACACUGACCAUCCUGCAGUGUGUAGGAGAGUCCUGCCAACAAAGAACUGCCCCACUCAAAAUGCCAAUAAUCCCGUGGUUGAGAAUGACACACAGUGAGUGGUGUACUCUUGGCAAUGACCUUCCCAUAGUCAAGCUGCAUUAUGUAGAGGGGAAAAAAAGUAAUGUAAAAGUAAGUUAAGGAUAAUAUAUAUGGUUCUGAGAAUUUUAUGUUCAUUGUCACUCUAAUGGGAAGAAGGAAGAUGAUAAACUUGGCUUAGGUCUUAGGAAAUAUAUUUCCCCUUCCUACAAUUGCUAGAGGUUCUCAUAAUCUCAUUAAGCACAAAAAUGUCAGGGGCUAAGGAAAAGACAGAUAAAUCAACAGUUCCCACAGGAAACUGGCUCUUUAGUCCCUGAAGAAAAUCUUUUACAACCUCAUCAAAAUCCCUUUCUUUUACAUGCCACCUCAAAUCCAUUCCUAAUUUGUGACUUCCAGAGAAUUACCACAAAAGAUGUGCCACCUAAUGGUCUCUAUUUCCUUGCUCAAUUGACUAUAUGAGGUAGUUUUCUAUUAACUAUUAAUUUAUAACAUCUAGAAAGAUAAUUUCAUAUUGUCUACAAUGGCUGGCCAAUUGGUUAUCAGCACUUCCUAUCAUAUUCAUCUUUUGUGCAAAUAUUCAGCUAACAAAUAGAUCCCUUAAAUCUUUAAUUCAUCAACUUGGAUAAAUUUCAACAUUCUAGAAGAUUGCAAGGAAUCAGAGCCAUUAACCAAAUUAUAUAGGUCACAUAGCAAAAAGUCUUGAGGUCCAAACACUUACAGACAUGGGUGAUCUGGACAGGAAUCUGCAAGGCUGCCAUGGGGUUUGGGGAGAUAGCUGUAUUGUCUUCCAAGCGGGCCACUCUGAUCUGAACGUGCUGUACACUGGAACUGGAAUUACUGUUUGGAACUCCAGAUCCCGAUUUGUUCUCCAAAAGCGUUGGGUUGUUUUUUUGGUUCUCAUGUAACUGUUUAAGACCUUUUAUUAAGACUGAAGGGAGAUGGGUAGACAAAAAGAACAUUGACUCUCCGACAGACCACCAUCUAAGCAGCAAGGGAGGUGGGGGUAAGGAGGGAAAGUAUUUGGAAUAAAUAAUUGUAUGCUGGAUGUGAAAUCUUACCAAAAUAAUAAAAAUAUUUUAAAACUACAGCCUGUCUGGGAAUUUUUAGAAACGUUCUCCAUCACAACAGACUUAAAAAAUUCAUAACAUAGUAUUUAUUGUUCUUGCCAUUUAAGAUGCACUGAAAAAUAGCCAUUGUGAGGAACAUGGAAAUAGGACAUUUUCUGUGUCCUAGGGUUUUUCAUAAAAUUCUUACUAUUUAGUAAAAAUAUUGGUAAUGCUAAAUAGCUUAUUUUCAUUUUAAAAUGAAAAUGUACUUUCCCACACAAGGACUCAAGGGCACUUGAAUAUUUUAGCCACUGCAAGAACAGCAGCUCAUUGUCUCCAAACUAAUACACAACUACCUUGCGUUCUUGUCAUGAUAAACUACAUCAAUCCUCCCAGGUGGUGCUGCAGUCUGGCUUGGUUCAUGUUACAUUAGUAUUCAUUCACUGUUCUGGGGUCUUAUCAGAUUUAUACAUUUAUAACAGAGUAUUUAAUUGUUUAAAAAACUACAUUUUCAUCAAGCCAAAGUUUCUCAGCAUUUAAUUUUCCUCUGGAAAAAUAGAUGUUGGAGAACUAUAUUAAGGGGAAUAAAUUUGAUUACCUAAAUUAAGCAGGUAAUUAGUUAUUAAUGCCUAAGUGCACAGCAGGUAAUGAAAAGUAUGCUAUGCCUCACUUUUAAGCAAUCCCAACGUAACAUUUCUAGAUUUACAUAAAUAUUAAAAAUUUACAGAGCUAUUUAUGUAUUUAUUUUCUAUUGUCUAAAGUUUUACAUAUGUCUCCUUUUCCCCCCAAUUGACUCCCUCCCCCAUCCCUUCCCAGCCCAGGCAAGCCCCCACCGCCCCAGUGUCUGUGUCCUUUGGUUAUGCUAAUAUGCAUGCAUAUAAGUCCUUUGGUUGCUCUCUAACCCACCUCCCCUACCAUUUGUGUCCAGAUCGAUCUAUUCUUGUUCAUAACAGAGCUAUUGUUGUACAAAAUAAUUUAUCACAGAAUUUC